rnacentral:rRNA from 1 species
GGUUAAGUUACAAAGGGCGCACGGUGGAUGCCUUGGCACUAGGAGCCGAUGAAGGACGGAACUAAUACCGAUAUGCUUCGGGGAGCUAUAAGUAAGCUUUGAUCCGGAGAUUUCCGAAUGGGGGAACCCAGUACACAUCAGUGUAUUGCCUGCAAGUGAAUACAUAGCUUGUUGGCGGCAGACGCGGGGAACUGAAACAUCUCAGUACCCGCAGGAAGAGAAAGAAAACUCGAUUCCCAUAGUAGCGGCGAGCGAAGUGGGAAGAGCCCAAACCGAGAAGCUUGCUUCUCGGGGUUGUAGGACUGGACAUUGGAGUUACCAAAGUUCGACGUAGUCGAAGUCAGCUGGAAAGCUGCGCCAUAGAAGGUGAAAGCCCUGUAAACGAAACGGCGGACUCUCCGUCCAGGAUCCUGAGUACGGCGGAACACGUGAAAUUCCGUCGGAAUCCGGGAGGACCAUCUCCCAAGGCUAAAUACUCCCUAGUGACCGAUAGUGAACCAGUACCGUGAGGGAAAGGUGAAAAGCACCCCGGAAGGGGAGUGAAACAGUUCCUGAAACCGUGUGCCUACAAUUAGUCAAAGCCCGUUAACGGGUAAUGGCGUGCCUUUUGUAGAAUGAACCGGCGAGUUACGUUUGCCUGCGAGGUUAAGAUGAAAAGUCGGAGCCGGAGCGAAAGCGAGUCUGAACAGGGCGCUUCAGUAGGUAGAUGUAGACCCGAAACCAAGUGACCUACCCAUGACCAGGUUGAAGGUGUGGUGAAACACACUGGAGGACCGAACCCAUGUAUGUUGAAAAAUGCUGGGAUGAGUUGUGGGUAGCGGUGAAAUUCCAAACGAACUUGGAGAUAGCUGGUUCUCUCCGAAAUAGCUUUAGGGUUAGCCUCGGAGGAUGGAUCAUGGAGGUAGAGCACUGUUUGAACUAGGGGCCCGUCAAGGGUUACUGAAUUCAGAUAAACUCCGAAUACCAUUGAUCUUACUCCGGGAGUCAGACAGUGAGCGAUAAGGUCCAUUGUCGAAAGGGGAACAGCCCAGAUCACCAGUUAAGGUCCCUAAAUUUAUGCUAAGUGGAAAAGGAUGUGGCGUUGCACAGACAACUAGGAUGUUGGCUCAGAAGCAGCCACCAUUUAAAGAGUGCGUAAUAGCUCACUAGUCGAGUGGCACUGCGCCGAAAAUAUACCGGGGCUAAGCAUAAUACCGAAACUGUGGGUGCACCCGUCAGGGUGCGCGGUAGGAGAGCGUUCUAAGGGCGUUGAAGGUCGAUCGUGAGGACGGCUGGAGCGCUUAGAAGUGAGAAUGCCGGCAUGAGUAGCGAAAGAUCAGUGAGAAUCUGAUCCACCGUAUGACUAAGGUUUCCUGGGGAAGGCUCGUCCUCCCAGGGUUAGUCGGGAUCUAAGGCGAGGCCGCAAGGCGUAGUCGAUGACAAGCAGGUUGAGAUUCCUGCACUAGUUUAUUUUGUUUAAGCGAUGGAGGGACGCAGGAGGCUAAGGAAAGCGCACGGCUGGAAAAGUGCGUCCAAGCAGUAAGUCCGGUAGCGAGUGAAAUGCUUGCCGCCUUAAGGACAAGCUGUGAUGGGGAGCGAAAUUAAAGUAGCGAAGUUCCUGAUGUCACACUGCCAAGAAAAGCUUCUAGUGAGAAAUAAACUACCCGUACCGCAAACCGACACAGGUAGUCGAGGAGAGUAUCCUCAGGUGAGCGAGCGAACUCUCGUUAAGGAACUCGGCAAAAUGACCCCGUAACUUCGGAAGAAGGGGUGCUGACCGCAAGGUCAGCCGCAGUGAAUAGGCCCAAACAACUGUUUAUCAAAAACACAGGUCUCUGCUAAAUCGUAAGAUGAUGUAUAGGGGCUGACGCCUGCCCGGUGCUGGAAGGUUAAGAGGAUGAGUUAGCGCAAGCGAAGCCCAGAAUUGAAGCCCCAGUAAACGGCGGCCGUAACUAUAACGGUCCUAAGGUAGCGAAAUUCCUUGUCGGGUAAGUUCCGACCCGCACGAAAGGCGUAAUGA